GUGGUUUUACUCACUCAUAAGAGGACCUGCGUCUAACAGUCCUCCUUUCAUCACAGCUUACAGACUUCCCAGUCCAUCUUGAAGGAAGCCUUUUCUAGCACUCCUAAGUAGUUGUGAUCCCUCCCUGUCCUUAUUCAUUUAUUUCCUAUACAUUUAAUCCGAUUUCCUAUUCAUUUAUUCAAUGAGCACUGAAUGCUUGCUUUGUGCCAGGCACACAUUGAAGAGACAGAGACGAGAAAGUGAGAUAAGGCAGGGUUAAAACAAAUUGAAGCUUCAAAAUAUCAAUAAUAUUAACAAAAUUGAGUCUUCCAAUCCAUGAACACAUAAACUCUGCAUUUGUUCAGGUCUUCUUCAGUCUAUCUCAGCAGUUUCAUAGUGCACAGGCCUUGCACAUCUUUUGACAAAUUGAUAUUUACAUAUUGACAUUGUAUUCUGCAAUCAUGAAUUAUCCAGAAAAUCUCGAGAGUUUGGUGGUGGAGCCUCCUGACAGCUGUCUCUGUGGAAUGUCUGCCAGGAAGUCCAAUAGCACCUCCACCUUGGGCCUGGUCUGUGACAUUUACCACAGUAGAAUUUGUCCAAUGUUAAGGACUCAGAGCUGCUUGGUCACAAUGCCCUCAUCCUGCAGAAUGGGAGCACUCCCCCACCCCCCAGAUGUCUAGGAGAGACCAGAGAAGGGUGAGCUUGAGAAGACACCAGUCAGUACUCACACCCCUGCUCAGGAAGCCCCACACCGUUGAUUCUUAAAUUUCUUGGCUCCCUUCCUGCACACGGCUUCAUAGUCAGAGCAGCAAGGCAUACUUCUGAAAUUCAGGCUUGCAAGGGGCUAUGGAGGUUGCACUGCUCCGGGAUGCAAUAGGUGGAAGAGAUUAUCACUGUUACUAUUGCUAUUAGAUUAAAAGUAGUAGUAGUAUUACUUUUUAAAGGUGCCAGCCCGGUAACAGUAAUUUAUUACUUCAGUCAACAAAUAUUAAGAAUUCUGUUGGCCAGACACUGGGGAUUAAAACAAAAUGACCAAAACAGCUCACACUGUAGUGAGUAGGACAUGCGUAAGCUCACAGUUCAAACAUCACUUGAUAAUUGCUAAGAGGAGGUUUCCAGGUGAUGCUGAUGCUGCUGGUGCAGAAACCACAAUUGAGAACCACUGCUCUAGACUAAAAACAAGGCAUGAGAAGCUCGAGGCCUGUUCCCAGUCAAGACUCUUGACCAUGGUUCCAGGGCCUUGAACUGCCAACGCUCCGGGGGAGUGUGCCUUAUGCUAAUGAUGCCAAGCCUGACAGGUGAGACGGGGGAAGCUGGAAAAGUAGUGUUCAGAUACAUUUCAGGAUGAAAAGCAAAGUAGCCUGAAGGGUCACAGAGGAAGCAAUUAGGAAGGAAGGACACUUGGAGAACAUGGACACACACAGCAGAGAUGUAUGUCAUGGAAGGAACUCAACUCACUUGUCUUGGCAUCAUUAGCAUAAUGCGAAUUCUCCCUGAGCGCUGGAAGUUCAAGGCCGUGGAGCCAUGGUCAUGGAUUCAAGGCCAAGUUUAUUUUCUUUCCUGGUCCUUCAACAUCAUUCCUCAGAGAAGUGAUGCCAGUGU
rnacentral:lncRNA from 1 species